GACGAACGCUGGCGGCGUGCCUAAUACAUGCAAGUUGAGCGCUGAAGGUUGGUACCUGUACCAACUGGAUGAGCAGCGAACGGGUGAGUAACGCGUGGGGAAUCUGCCUUUGAGCGGGGGACAACAUUUGGAAACGAAUGCUAAUACCGCAUAAAAACUUUAAACACAAGUUUUAAGUUUGAAAGAUGCAAUUGCAUCACUCAAAGAUGAUCCCGCGUUGUAUUAGCUAGUUGGUGAGGUAAAGGCUCACCAAGGCGAUGAUACAUAGCCGACCUGAGAGGGUGAUCGGCCACAUUGGGACUGAGACACGGCCCAAACUCCUACGGGAGGCAGCAGUAGGGAAUCUUCGGCAAUGGACGAAAGUCUGACCGAGCAACGCCGCGUGAGUGAAGAAGGUUUUCGGAUCGUAAAACUCUGUUGGUAGAGAAGAACGUUGGUGUGAGUGGAAAGCUCAUCAAGUGACGGUAACUACCCAGAAAGGGACGGCUAACUACGUG
rnacentral:rRNA from 1 species